AAAAACAUUUCCUUUAGUAUAUAUUUAAAGGUAUUACCUGCUCAAUGUAAUUUAUUAAUAGCUGCGGUAUCUUAACUGCACUAAGGUAGCGUAAUUAAUUGUCUUUUAAAUGGUGACUUGUUUGAAUGGUUUUAUGAGAAAAGAACUUUCUUUGGUUUAAAAAGAAUUUAUAUUUUUAGGUUAAAAUACCUAAUUUAUAAAGAAAGACGAGAAGACCCUGCUGAGUUUAACAAUUAUAUUCUAAUUGUUUGAAUGGGAAAUUUAAUUUUUUAAUAAAAUUUUUUUGAUCCUGGAAGUAUAUUCUGGAAAAAGGAUAAAAUUACCACAGGGAUAACAGGACUAUAUCUUCUAAGAGUCCAAAUUGAAGAAGGUGUUUGUUACCUCGAUGUUGAAUCGAAAUAACUUUUUAGUGCAGCAGCUAAAUAAGUAGGUCUGUUCGACCUUUAAAAUUUCACG
rnacentral:rRNA from 1 species